CAUUAUAUUACGAACUUGUCCACUAUGAAUUCGUCUGUGAUUUUGAUCCUGUUUUUCGUAGCAUCUGCUGCCCUUGUGGUGUCAACCAUAGAUGUGGAGGAGGCGCAACUUGCUGUUCAGAUUUCAGAUCAAGUUAAUUGCUCCAUUAGUGUGUCGGAUCUCUAUACGUAUAUGAAAACAACAGUCUGGGGUCGCGACCGAGGUGAGAAUUGCAGGUGCUUAGAAAAGGCUAAGAAAAUGUACGAUACGAACUGCACGCAAUUCAAGGAUUUGAACUCGUUCAAUAAGAACACCUCCUUCGUCCAGUGCAAGAAGAAAUCCGGUAAAUGCAAAGAAUCGAAAUCAACGAGGGAAUUCGAAUGUUGCAUCGCCUUGUAUCACUGUUAUGGGGCAACAGAUGCAAAUUGUGCAAAGGGUUAAAAAAUCAGUGUCCAAAAUAAUUUCGAUUAUUUGGUCCAUUAUUAUUAACAAUAAUAGAAGUUUUGUAGAUAUGAUUAUGAAUGAAGAAUACAUUUUUCAUAUAAAAUAUUUCAUAAUUAUUAGUACUAUAUAGUACUUAAAGUACUACCGAUGUAGUAUUAUACCGAUGACCCA